UCCGUAGGUGGCAAGCGUUGUCCGGAAUUAUUGGGCGUAAAGCGCGCGCAGGCGGUCCUUUAAGUCUGAUGUGAAAGCCCACGGCUUAACCGUGGAGGGUCAUUGGAAACUGGGGGACUUGAGUGCAGAAGAGGAGAGUGGAAUUCCACGUGUAGCGGUGAAAUGCGUAGAUAUGUGGAGGAACACCAGUGGCGAAGGCGGCUCACUGGCCCGGUACUGACGCUGAGGUGCGAAAGCGUGGGGAGCAAACAGG
rnacentral:rRNA from 1 species